rnacentral:rRNA from 1 species
CAAUAGCGUAUAUUAAAGUUGUUGCGGUUAAAAAGCUCGUAGUUGGAUUUCUGCUGAGAACGACCGGUCCGCCCUUUGGGUGUGUAUCUGGCUCUUUCUUGGCAUCUUCUUGGUGAACGUUGCUGCACUUGACUGUGUGGAGCGCUACCCAGGACUUUUACUUUGAGGAAAUUAGAGUGUUUCAAGCAGGCAUACGCCUUGAAUACAUUAGCAUGGAAUAAUAAGAUAGGACCUCGGUUCUAUUUUGUUGGUUUCUAGAGCUGAGGUAAUGAUUAAUGGGGAUAGUUGGGGGCAUUCGUAUUUAACUGUCAGAGGCGAAAUUCUUGGAUUUGUUAAAGACGGACUACUGCGAAAGCAUUUGCCAAGGAUGUUUUCAUUGA